CGCUGGCGGCAGGCCUAACACAUGCAAGUCGAGCGGUAGAGAGAAGCUUGCUUCUCUUGAGAGCGGCGGACGGGUGAGUAAUGCCUAGGAAUCUGCCUGGUAGUGGGGGAUAACGUUCGGAAACGGACGCUAAUACCGCAUACGUCCUACGGGAGAAAGCAGGGGACCUUCGGGCCUUGCGCUAUCAGAUGAGCCUAGGUCGGAUUAGCUAGUUGGUGGGGUAAUGGCUCACCAAGGCGACGAUCCGUAACUGGUCUGAGAGGAUGAUCAGUCACACUGGAACUGAGACACGGUCCAGACUCCUACGGGAGGCAGCAGUGGGGAAUAUUGGACAAUGGGCGAAAGCCUGAUCCAGCCAUGCCGCGUGUGUGAAGAAGGUCUUCGGAUUGUAAAGCACUUUAAGUUGGGAGGAAGGGCCGUUACCUAAUACGUGAUGGUUUUGACGUUACCGACAGAAUAAGCACCGGCUAACUCUGUGCCAGCAGCCGCGGUAAUACAGAGGGUGCAAGCGUUAAUCGGAAUUACUGGGCGUAAAGCGCGCGUAGGUGGUUUGUUAAGUUGGAUGUGAAAUCCCCGGGCUCAACCUGGGAACUGCAUUCAAAACUGACUGACUAGAGUAUGGUAGAGGGUGGUGGAAUUUCCUGUGUAGCGGUGAAAUGCGUAGAUAUAGGAAGGAACACCAGUGGCGAAGGCGACCACCUGGACUGAUACUGACACUGAGGUGCGAAAGCGUGGGGAGCAAACAGGAUUAGAUACCCUGGUAGUCCACGCCGUAAACGAUGUCAACUAGCCGUUGGGAGCCUUGAGCUCUUAGUGGCGCAGCUAACGCAUUAAGU
rnacentral:rRNA from 2 species